GUGCUCGCCACGGCAGCACAUAUACUAAAAUUGAUCGAUACAGAGAAGAUUAGCAUGGUCUCUACAUGGUAAAGGAUGACACGCAAACUGCAAGCGCUUCCAUAAAUUUGC